AGACCAGGGCCCUCCACCUGCCAGGCUCCUCGCCGCCCCGCUACCUGCAUGGUGGGGUCCGCGCUGCGGUUGCUGCAGCCCCCCCUUUGGCGGGUGCCAUUGUAGCCGAGGUCGGCGCUGAAGCGGUGCCACAGAUACUGCGUGGUGAGCGGGCCCUGCAGGACCAAGGCAAAGUUGGCCAGGAAGACCAGCGGCUCUACCGGGCCCCGGCACAGCACGGCAGCCGCAGGGCGGGCGCGGGGCUUUUCCGGGGGGCUCGCGCUCCCCUCCAUGUGCGUGCGCGGCGGAGCUGUCGCCAGGCGGGCGGCGGGGCGCGCGAGCGACUCGCUGCCUGGGACCAGCGACGCGUGGCGUGGGGCUUGCGCUGUCUGCGCCUGCGCCCGGCGUCCCUCCUUAAAUGUCCGGCGGGGAGGGGCCUGUGACCUGAGGCCACCGGACUCUCGCCGCGGGUGCACCUGGCUGGGCGUGGGCCAGCGAGGGGCCCGGCACCCCCAGCCCGCGGGAUGACCUCACCUGUAAAGUGCUAGCCAAUAUUAACCAUCGCUAUCUACCGCUGAGGAAACGAGGUCAUCGGGUACUCAAGGCAGAGCUGGAAGAGCACAUGACUCCUGAUGCUGCUGAUGUUCUGCGCUGUAACAGAGAGGCAGCUGGAGAGGAUCGGAGUGGGCUGAGCCCAGCUGCCUGGGUUGGAGCACCUAGGCUCUGCCACUACCUUCGGCAUGCCACUUACCACCCUGAGCCUCUGUUUUUUCAUCUGUAAAAUGGAGUUGCUAACAAAACAUGUCUCAAAAAGUUGUGGAAAAGCAGUGUCUGGUAUAUUCAAAGUGCUAUUAUUGCUAUUAACAGGCUGUCACGUCUGGGAGUGGUGGCUCACACCUGUAAUCCCAGCACUUUUGGAGGCUGAGGCGCAUGGAUCGCUUGAACCCAGGAGUUCGAGACCAAUCUGGGCAACAUGGUAAAACCCUGUCUCUACAAAAAAUACACAAAAAUUAGCCAGGCGUAGUAGCAGAUACCUGUAGUCCCAGGUACUCGGGUGGCUGAGGUGGGAGGAUCAAUUGAGCCCAGGAGGCAGAGGUUGCAGUGGGCUGAGAUCGCACCACUGCACUCCAGCCUGGGUGACAGAGCAAGA
rnacentral:lncRNA from 1 species